UACGUAGGGGGCUAGCGUUGUCCGGAAUCAUUGGGCGUAAAGCGCGCGUAGGCGGCCCGGUAAGUCCGCUGUGAAAGUCAAAGGCUCAACCUUUGAAUGUCAGCGGAUACUGCCGGGCUAGAGUCCGGAAGAGGCGAGUGGAACUCCUGGUGUAGCGGUGGAAUGCGCAGAUAUCAGGAAGAACACCAACGGCGAAGGCAGCUCGCUGGGACGGUACUGACGCUGAGGCGCGAAAGCGUGGGGAGCAAACAGG
rnacentral:rRNA from 1 species